GCUUAANACAUGCAAGUCGAGGGGUAUAGUAGCAAUACUAGAGACCGGCGCACGGGUGCGUAACGCGUAUGCAAUCUACCUUUUACAGAGGGAUAGCCCAGAGAAAUUUGGAUUAAUACCUCAUAGUAUUAUAGAAUGGCAUCAUUUUAUAAUUAAAGUCACAACGGUAAAAGAUGAGCAUGCGUCCCAUUAGCUAGUUGGUAAGGUAACGGCUUACCAAGGCAACGAUGGGUAGGGGUCCUGAGAGGGAGAUCCCCCACACUGGUACUGAGACACGGACCAGACUCCUACGGGAGGCAGCAGUGAGGAAUAUUGGUCAAUGGACGCAAGUCUGAACCAGCCAUGCCGCGUGCAGGAUGACGGUCCUACGGAUUGUAAACUGCUUUUAUACAGGAAGAAACCCUGGCUCGUGAGCCAGAUUGACGGUACUGUAAGAAUAAGGAUCGGCUAGCUCCGUGCCAGCAGCCGCGGUAAUACGGAGGAUCCAAGCGUUAUCCGGAAUCAUUGGGUUUAAAGGGUCCGUAGGCGGUCUUAUAAGUCAGUGGUGAAAUCUCCCCGCUCAACGGGGAAACGGCCAUUGAUACUGUAAGACUUGAAUUAUUAGGAAGUAACUAGAAUAUGUAGUGUAGCGGUGAAAUGCUUAGAUAUUACAUGGAAUACCAAUUGCGAAGGCAGGUUACUACUAAUUGAUUGACGCUGAUGGACGAAAGCGUGGGGAGCGAACAGGAUUAGAUACCCUGGUAGUCCACGCCGUAAACGAUGGAUACUAGCUGUUGGGCGCAAGUUCAGUGGCUAAGCGAAAGUGAUAAGUAUCCCACCUGGGGAGUACGUUCGCAAGAAUGAAACUCAGAGGAAUUGACGG
rnacentral:rRNA from 1 species